AUUGCAAACUAUUUUUUGGUUGUCCCCUGUGCUCUCGCUAAGAAACCCCAAACCCUCGGCGACGCGAAAUGGCUUGGAGAGGCUCGGUGUCCCGGUCGCUUCUCGCCGCCGCGCGAUCCUCACCACGACGGCCGACGCCGGCGCUUCCCCGCCUCCGCCCUCCGUCACCCACCGCGCCUCGCCUCCCUCGCCGUCGUACCUCCUCCGCUUCUGCUCGAUCGUUGGGAGAGCUCAGAUGCGUGCAGCUUCUUCUCCCAUUGCAGGCGGUGGCGGCCACUCCGCGACUCACCUCCCAUCUUUCCGUCAGCGCGAGAGCUUGCUGUGAGCUUUCUCAGGGUACGUGAAGUAAUUAAGUGGCUUAUCACAGGCAUCAAAGGACUUGUGGCAGAUGUUACAGGGGAGCUUCUUCACCCGUUUAGUGACUGUAAGAGUACGGAUAAACUGUUGGUGGUUUUGUUUGAUGCAGUUUAAAUCUUCCAAGUCUAUUAAUUGAGGCACAAGUCUGACUAUCGGUUGAUGACUUAUCUAAUGAUUCUUAACUCUUGUUUUUUUUCGUUUUGAUUCUUAAUUCCAACCGUUCGUCUGAUUGGUCCAAAAGCUCAUUGUGUAUUGACAGAUGCGUGUCCUUUUGACCCGUGAAAGUCAAAACUCAGGCAAUUUAUUUAUAUUUUUGGGUUUUCUUUUU